CCUACGGGAGGCUGCAGUGGGGAAUAUUGGACAAUGGGGGCAACCCUGAUCCAGCCAUGCCGCGUGUGUGAAGAAGGCCCUCGGGUUGUAAAGCACUUUCAGUGAGGAAGAACGCCUGGUGGUUAAUACCCAUCAGGAAAGACAUCACUCACAGAAGAAGCACCGGCUAACUCCGUGCCAGCAGCCGCGGUAAUACGGAGGGUGCGAGCGUUAAUCGGAAUUACUGGGCGUAAAGCGCGCGUAGGUGGCUUGAUAAGCCGGUUGUGAAAGCCCCGGGCUCAACCUGGGAACGGCAUUCGGAACUGUCAAGCUAGAGUGCAGGAGAGGAAGGUAGAAUUCCCGGUGUAGCGGUGAAAUGCGUAGAGAUCGGGAGGAAUACCAGUGGCGAAGGCGGCCUUCUGGACUGACACUGACACUGAGGUGCGAAAGCGUGGGUAGCAAACAGGAUUAGAUACCCGAGUAGUC
rnacentral:rRNA from 1 species